rnacentral:rRNA from 1 species
AUUGAACGCUGGCGGCAGGCCUAACACAUGCAAGUCGAGCGGAUGAAGGGAGCUUGCUCCUGGAUUCAGCGGCGGACGGGUGAGUAAUGCCUAGGAAUCUGCCUGGUAGUGGGGGAUAACGUCCGGAAACGGGCGCUAAUACCGCAUACGUCCUGAGGGAGAAAGUGGGGGAUCUUCGGACCUCACGCUAUCAGAUGAGCCUAGGUCGGAUUAGCUAGUUGGUGGGGUAAAGGCCUACCAAGGCGACGAUCCGUAACUGGUCUGAGAGGAUGAUCAGUCACACUGGAACUGAGACAGGGUCCAGACUCCUACGGGAGGCAGAAGUGGGGAAUAUUGGACAAGGGGCGAAAGCCUGAUCCAGCCAUGCCGCGUGUGUGAAGAAGGUCUUCGGAUUGGAAAGCACUUUAAGUUGGGAGGAAGGGCAGUAAGUUAAUACCUUGCUGUGUUGACGUUACCAACAGAAUAAGCACCGGCUAACUUCGUG